rnacentral:rRNA from 1 species
AGUCGAGCGAACUGAUUAGAAGCUUGCUUCUAUGACGUUAGCGGCGGACGGGUGAGUAACACGUGGGCAACCUGCCUGUAAGACUGGGAUAACUUCGGGAAACCGAAGCUAAUACCGGAUAGGAUCUUCUCCUUCAUGGGAGAUGAUUGAAAGAUGGUUUCGGCUAUCACUUACAGAUGGGCCCGCGGUGCAUUAGCUAGUUGGUGAGGUAACGGCUCACCAAGGCAACGAUGCAUAGCCGACCUGAGAGGGUGAUCGGCCACACUGGGACUGAGACACGGCCCAGACUCCUACGGGAGGCAGCAGUAGGGAAUCUUCCGCAAUGGACGAAAGUCUGACGGAGCAACGCCGCGUGAGUGAUGAAGGCUUUCGGGUCGUAAAACUCUGUUGUUAGGGAAGAACAAGUACGAGAGUAACUGCUCGUACCUUGACGGUACCUAACCAGAAAGCCACGGCUAACUACGUGCCAGCAGCCGCGGUAAUACGUAGGUGGCAAGCGUUAUCCGGAAUUAUUGGGCGUAAAGCGCGCGCAGGCGGUUUCUUAAGUCUGAUGUGAAAGCCCACGGCUCAACCGUGGAGGGUCAUUGGAAACUGGGGAACUUGAGUGCAGAAAAGAAAAGCGGAAUUCCACGUGUAGCGGUGAAAUGCGUAUAGAUGUGGAGGAACACCAGUGGCGAAAGCGGCUUUUUGGUCUGUAACUGACGCUC